CUACUCAUCUGCUGAUGGUUAGCUUGAUUCCUGGUGCUCCCAUAGGGUGAGGUGAAGGGUCAGAUCUGCAGUGAUUUCUAAAAGGUUGUGACAAGGGGUGGGAUGAAGAAUAUCCCAACUGCUUUGCCUCAAAGUGGCCAUUACUGGGGGAGGAAGAUACUAGCAAAGGAACUUGCCAUUAUAUUGUAGCAUGCAGAGAAUGAGGAGCUUCGAUGUUGCUGAACUUGGGAUGGCGGUAGUUUCAAUGCCCUCGGGACAUGGAGCGGGUGGGGGCCAACAAGUCCCCUGGAGUAAUAUCUACCCAUCAUGGAAUCGCCCGGACUCUUUUCAGAACGGGAUCGGGACCCAGCACUACUAAAGUAUUGACUCAGCUCUGCUUUGUCUCUCCCAAUGGUUGUAUGAGCAGAUUUCCAGACCCGCCCAUCCCAGGACACUGACCAGUCUCGAGACAUUCCCUCAAUGCCUAAAAUGCCCCAAACGGUGGCUUUCUGGGUCAGAUUCUCUUUCUCAGCAGCAAAGGGCUUGUCCGACUGUGAGAAUCUUACCUGUGACAAGCGAGAGUCGGCUCGUUCCGGGCAGAAUCCCUGGGGAAUGACCGUCAGACUCUGCCUUCGUGUUCGAACCAGACAUACUCUGUCGAUUUUCAUUAAUAAUAGAUGAACGAAUGACCGGCCCUCGUGAAGAAGUUUACUUGAACUGAUGUACAUUGCUGCCACAGAUAUGGAAAAUAAAGACAGUUCCAACUUGAA